rnacentral:rRNA from 1 species
AACGAACGCUGGCGGCAGGCUUAACACAUGCAAGUCGAACGCAUCCUUCGGGGUGAGUGGCAGACGGGUGAGUAACGCGUGGGGACGUGCCCUUCAGUUCGGGAUAACCCAGGGAAACUUGGGCUAAUACCGGAUACGUGCGAGAGCAGAAAGAUUUAUCGCUGAAGGAUCGGCCCGCGUCUGAUUAGCUAGUUGGUGGGGUAAUGGCUCACCAAGGCGACGAUCAGUAGCUGGUCUGAGAGGAUGAUCAGCCACAUUGGGACUGAGACACGGCCCAAACUCCUACGGGAGGCAGCAGUGGGGAAUAUUGGACAAUGGGCGCAAGCCUGAUCCAGCCAUGCCGCGUGAGUGAUGAAGGCCUUAGGGUUGUAAAGCUCUUUCGUCCGGGACGAUAAUGACGGUACCGGAAGAAGAAGCCCCGGCUAACUUCGUGCCAGCAGCCGCCGUAACAC